rnacentral:lncRNA from 1 species
GAAAGGCCUGGCUUCCUCUUCCUUCCUGUCCCUGCCCCACCUCCGCCGGGCUCCACAGCCGCCGGGAGCCCAGGGCCGAGACGGGAGGAGGGCACCCACCUGGUCGGUGUCACAUGCUGCUUCGGCCCCAGCGUCCCCUCCAGGUCCCGGCGCCGGCCGCAGUCCCCAGAGCCGUCCCCAGCGCAGGCCCGGCCGCCCCACCCGCGGCCCGCCCCUGGCCGCCCGACGGGAGGGAGGGAUCGGGUUCUCCUAGGAAGUUUCAGUCUUCCUCCAGACAGGCACGCCAUACAACCGACUACACUUGGGCUCACUGAAUGAAUCACAUUCUUCUGCUGUGCCUCCCAGAGAUUUCAUCAAAGCACCCGCAGUGGCCUUCUGGAGGCUCCUCAAACUCUCCACUCAAUGUUUCCUGAAAGUGUCGUGUUUCUCACCUCUAGAUUGUUAUUCUCAUCAGUUACAU